rnacentral:rRNA from 1 species
UACGUAGGAGACGAGCGUUGUCCGGAGUUACUGGGCGUAAAGGGUGCGCAGGCGGCCCUGCGCGUCGCGAGUGAAAUCUCCCGGCUCAACUGGGAGGGUGGUCGCGAGACGGCAGGGCUUGAGGCUCGGUGAGGGGCGUGGAAUUCCGGGUGGAGCGGUGAAAUGCGUAGAGAUCCGGAGGAACACCAACGGCGUAGGCAGCGCCCUACGACGAGACCUGACGCUCAGGCACGAAAGCGCGGGGAGCGAACAGG